GAUGUGCGCAGUAUGUAGAAUUUCAGAAGCUAAUCUUACAAACUGUUGAGGUUCAUUACUAGAUUCCUGGAUACUUACGCUCAGCUCUACUUUCUGCGUUAUGUUUGGUAGCUUGGCAAGUCCAGGGAGAAGCAAGUAGUUCCGAGGAAUUCGUUUGUAAGCUCUACGUUCGUAAACUGAGAAGUAGCCGUCUGAAGAGCCUGAGUGGGAAAUUGAGACUCGGGUUUUUUACAGUCUUUUUCUGAUCAGUUCGGAACUCUCUGACAUGACAAUAUCCUGGCCAUUGAGACAUUGUGCGGUGAGUGUUUGGACGAAAGCUGUGUUUGCUGACGACUCGUAAGAGUGAAAGGAAAGUGUUGAGGACUGCGCAAGAUUGACCCCGCGCGGCAGCAGUACCGACCAGGAUACGUGACAGCUGCAUCAGUACGACAGUAGUCAUGGUGGUGGCCUGGCUGUAGACUGGAGACCAGUUCAUGUAUUGCAGUACUCGAACAGAUGGGACCCAGGAAAAGCGUGGAGUGUCUUCGGGGAUGGCGAUGCAGUACAGGGCAAAGUCGGCAUCUAGCGCAGUGACAGUGUAUCGACUGGUAGAAGGCCAUCGCUAAUUUAAUUCAAGCUACCAGGAGACUGACAUUAUGCAUCUCCUACAGAAAGGAUUUGUACCGUAUCACGAAGCUUUAUGCAGGGGUUACUUGUAUCACUGCUGCUGAUGCUGGAGCUGAUGCUUGAGCUACUGGCGGUGAUGGAUAGGACGGUGGUGGUUGGUGGCAUGUAGGACGUACAGUUCACAUGUCACAUUUUCUGCCAUGAUUCUUCUGAAGGAGAUAACACAAAAUUAAUGCUACACUGACUAUGUUUCAUCACCGGGCACUGCUGGAGGCGCAUGCUGGUAUUACGUCAUGAGAUGUCUGUCAACUGGAUUACACAUUGCUGAGCAUGCAUUGGACUGGUGACCUAUCAACCAGGGAAAAUUGCAUCGAUGAGAGGCUGUAACAGUCACUUUGCAGUGUCCACCGGAAUGUUGCAAGCUAAAUCGUUCUCACUUUGAUCUAGUUCUGGACCCUGUGUUGAUAAUCCAAACAGGGAUAUCAAACACUACAGCAGCUUUGUAUUAUUACGCUUGUUGCCUGCCAG